UACGUAGGGUGCAAGCGUUAAUCGGAAUUACUGGGCGUAAAGCGUGCGCAGGCGGUGAUGUAAGUCAGAUGUGAAAUCCCCGGGCUUAACCUGGGAACUGCGUUUGAAACUACAAGGCUAGAGUGUGGCAGAGGGGGGUAGAAUUCCACGUGUAGCAGUGAAAUGCGUAGAGAUGUGGAGGAACACCGAUGGCGAAGGCAGCCCCCUGGGUCAAGAUUGACGCUCAUGCACGAAAGCGUGGGGAGCAAACAGG
rnacentral:rRNA from 1 species